rnacentral:rRNA from 1 species
UACAGAGGUCCCGAGCGUUGUUCGGAAUUACUGGGCGUAAAGGGUUCGUAGGUGGCCUGCUAAGUCACACGUGAAAUCCCUCAGCUUAACUGGGGAACUGCGUGUGAGACUGGAGGGCUUGAGUGCAGGAGAGGAACGCGGAAUUCCAGGUGUAGCGGUGAAAUGCGUAGAUAUCUGGAGGAACACCGGUGGCGAAGGCGGCUCUCUGGGACGGUACUGACGCUGAGACGCGAAAGCGUGGGGAGCGAACAGG